CGUAGGUGGCAAGCGUUGUCCGGAUUUAUUGGGUUUAAAGGGUGCGUAGGCGGUUCCAUAAGUCAGUGGUGAAAUACGGCAGCUCAACUGUCGAGGUGCCAUUGAUACUGUGGAACUUGAGUACUGAUGAGGUAGGCGGAAUGGACGGUGUAGCGGUGAAAUGCUUAGAGAUCGUCCAGAACACCGAUAGCGAAGGCAGCUUACUAAGGAGUAACUGACGCUGAGGCACGAAAGUGUGGGGAUCAAACAGGAUUAGAUACCCUGGUAGUCCACACUGUAAGCGAUGAUUACUCGAUGUUGGCGAUACACAGCCAGCGUCUUAGCAAAAGCGAUAAGUAAUCCACCUGGGGAGUACGCCGGCAACGGUG
rnacentral:rRNA from 1 species